CAGUCGCCGCGGGAAUACGUAGGGUGCAAGCGUUAAUCGGAAUUACUGGGCGUAAAGCGUGCGCAGGCGGUUAUAUAAGACAGAUGUGAAAUCCCCGGGCUCAACCUGGGAACUGCAUUUGUGACUGUAUAGCUAGAGUACGGCAGAGAGGGAUGGAAUUCCGCGUGUAGCAGUGAAAUGCGUAGAUAUGCGGAGGAACACCGAUGGCGAAGGCAAUCCCCUGGGCCUGUACUGACGCUCAUGCACGAAAGCGUGGGGAGCAAACAGGAUUAGAUACCCGCGUAGUCCCUGUCUCUUAUAC
rnacentral:rRNA from 1 species